AUAUGGUCUGGGCAUAUGGGGACAUGUCCAGUGUUUUGUUUGAAUAUGUAUGCCAGAUAGAGAAGUAAGGAUCCAUUGACUGCUCAAUGAGGAAAUUGAACUUAAUUAGCAUUUCCAUGCUCUCUUCAUUUUGUCCCUGUCACAUACUUGUCAUUUGGCUUUGCUUUGUAGGGGAUUACAACAAAUUUAUUUAUUUAUUUUUUUUUUAAGAUCCCUAAUUCUCCCUUGAGUAAACCAACUAAUACAAAACAGGAUACAGUGAGCAUACGUAAACGAAUUAAUAAUAUGCACUCCAGACACCUGUGUUGUUAGCUCAAUCGGUUGAGCAUUCGACUCUUGAUCUCCACUCAGGUCAUGACCUCAUGGUUCAUGGGAUUGAGCCCUGUGUGAUGCUCUUUGCUGACCGCUUAAACUUAAAAAAAAAAUCCUCUCCUUGAAGGACAUUUUAAGAAUUUGUGUUAGGAGGUAAAAGGUGUUGAAGACUUGCAGACUGGGCAUGGUGGUAACACCUUUCUAAAAGACAAGGAGGUUGGAAUAAUGGUUGGAGAGUGUGUGGGUGUGUGCGUGCACGUGCAUGGGCACAUACCUUUAGAAAAGCAAUAUUAUUUUGUUGGAGCAUGCUGAGAAAUAAAAUAGGAAUAUAUGUGGAUAGGCAUAGGUUAUGGAAGGUUAUGAAUGAUUUAGACCUGCUGAUACAGGAAUUAGUUCUUGGAAUGAUAUAAUACACAAAAGAUAUCAGUAUCAUACUAGCAACAGUUUUCAUUAACAUUAAAAAAAUAUUAGUUUUAUUUGGUUUCCUGCUUUUAAAAUUAGGUAUCAUAUGGAAGUGUAUGGUGUAUGCUGAUACAUUGGGCUUGAUCUAGUAUAAAUUUUUCUUUGGUGUUUUUCAUCUUAGGAUUUCAGUAUUCCAAUGAUUAGUAUAAUGUUAUUAAUAUAUAAGAAAAUUAAUUAAAUUUCUGCUUUGGGAGUAAAAGUAAUAGCUUUAUUGAUUUGGGAAUAGCUUUUUUUUCACACAUGAAAAACUUUUGAACUGAGUUGAUGAGUCAUGCUAAGGCAGUUGGGUAAAGGAUUAUCAAGUCAGCCAGUAAACACCUGUGUAAAGAUCUGAGUGUGUAUAUUUUUUCUGUUUGAGAAAUAUAUGGGCUGCGGUAAGCUAGUCAUUAAUAGGCCAAAAAGAAUUAAGAAUGGAAACAUAGUUUGGGCCUACAUUGUUAAAAGUGUUUGAAUGCCAUAUUAAAAUUGUGUGAGUAUUCUUUGUGCAUCAUCAGUAUGGCUAUUUCAUUUGUCCUUUGUGAUUUCUUCAUAUUUUUAUGUCUAUUUAUGUUUGAACACAUGUUUUGAAAACCAUGAUUAUUUUCAUAUUUUGGAAAUACUAAAAUACAAAAGAUGGCAGUUGAGAGAUCUGGGCAUCUCUUUGCUCCUAAAAAUGUGAUCAUUGGUUGGGUGACUUCAAGGGACAGAGAGAGACCUAAUGAGUUUAUUUGAAGCAGCUGCCCUUUACUCUCUUAAAAAAAAUACUCAUGCCCAACUAUACCUGUAGGGAUUCUUAUACAUAUGGUCUAGAUAGAUGCUUGAGUGUUGGUGUAUUUUUCUUAAUGCUUCUCAAGAGAUUUUGAUGUCAAAGGGUUGAGAAUCCUUGAUUAAAGAAUGAGGAAGUAGUUUUGUUUCUUUGAUUCUUACCCUAUUUCUUUGUCUAUGAAUCUCUUUAGAAAAAUUCUAAUACAUUUAUAUAUGUAUGUAUAAUUUCUGGGGUAUCCUGGACUCUGGCACAAAAAACUCCUGUUGUAAAUUUAGUAUAUAGAGAAUUAACGUGUACAAUCCUAACUUCAUGACAGUAGUCCUCUAAAGUUUUACUUUUAGUUGUCUUGGUGAGGCAGCAAAACAUUGACCAUUUCUAUCAUGCCACUGUAAGUAUGUUUGGAAAAGAUUUUUUUGAGUGAGGAAUUUUGGAUGAGUUAAGGUAUCAACAGCAAGGAAUAGUAAGGAAAUUUAGAUGUUUGCAGAAAUACCUUCAAAUUUCUUGCCACUGCUCUUUGAUCCUAAAAAUUAGUGGCGGUGCCACUGUUGACCUCAUUCUUCAGUUUUUCAAGAGGCAAGAGAAUACCUUUAAUUACUCUGGUGUAUUUGCUUGGUAUUAAUAGAGUGUCAGUGAAAAGUAAUAUUUUCUUCCAUUCUAAUCUCAGCCAAUGGAAAAAGCCUUAUGAUGACUGAUGGAGCAGCCAGGUAGUAGCUGGUAAAGAGCGGAUUCAAGUAUAGUACUGAGGUCUAUAAUGAAAAAAUAAAUUUAAUCAGGCAUAGAGAAACUAGUCAGGAAAAUUGCAUUAGAAAAUCUCACUGAGGGGGCGCCUGGGUGGCUCAGUUGAUUAAGCGUCCGACUUCUAUUCAGGUUAUGAUCUUGCAGACCAUGAGUUUGGGCCCCAUGUCAAGCUGCGUUUUGACAGCUCAGAACCUAGAGCCUGCUUCAGAUUCUCCCUCUCUCUCAAAACUUAAAAUAAGGAUUAAAAAAAAUUUUUUUUUAAAUCACACUGAGAAGUCAUUCUGAAGAUACUUAUUUGGAAAGUUAAGAUUUGUAUUAAUUGUCAUAACAACAUAGUGGUCCUAAAUCAACUAUGUUGGAUUCUUUAUUGAAAUAGGUUAUUGAUAAUGGCUCUGAGAUGAGCUGAAAGCUCUGAAUCUUCCUAUGUAAAUGGGUUAAAUCAGUGUUUAUUUAAAUCUUUUAGUCAUACCUUUAAGAACAUAAGAUUCACACAAAUAUUUCAAGACCUAAAAUUGGCAUUUCUUAAUUAUCUAGCUUUCUGGGAUCUUGAGUUCUACUUAUUUUUAUGGUAGAGAGGUAGCUGAUCUGGAGCCUAUAAAAAAAGAACAAUUGAAGAAUCCAAAGACCUAAUAUUUAGCAAAGAAAUUUUUGACUGAAGUCCUAUGUAAUCUCAAGUUUCUUAUCCCUAAUAUGGAAAUAAUCUUACUAAUAGAGUUGCUAUGAAGACUAAUGGAAACAUGAAAGACUAGAAAUUGCAUUAUAAAUGUGAUGAUUCGCAAAUAUCAUAACUGUUUACAACCAAUCAAUAGAAUUCCCAGUCUUUAGAGCAUGAGGAUUCAUUCCUGUUAAUUAUCAAGAUCUUCACAUUUCUUAUAUGCAAAGUUGCUGCAAGUUACACUUCUGGAUUAUCAGAACGAAGGGAAUUGUGGAUACCCCUCCAAUCCUCUUCCCCAGAAAACUAACAUCUCUAGCAUACUCCAGUUCUCUUCAGGUGUGACAACCGUCUUCUCAACUUUAAUGCAUAUUGAAAUGCUUAGUAUUUUCUAGUGUUUUCUGGACCUCUUUUUAAUGGUUAAAAGAUUGCUUUUAUAAACGUAAUCACACCACCAUACUUAUAAUAAUAUUAAUCUCAUCAGUUUUUCAUAGAUCUCAUUUUGUGGGUUAUACUUUGUGUUAAGCAUGUUUCAGUCCCGCCUGUAUUUGUGAAUUGGUGGAUAGAUCUGCAGGCUUGAUCAGAUUUCAGGUUCUAUCUUCUUUUUGUUUCUCACCCCCCGUUCCCCGCCACCCCCCCCCCACAUGAGGGAGUAUGUUGGGAGUAGUGGGGAAGGAGCCCAGAAUAGAGGUAUUAUGCACUUUAAUCAUUAACCUGAUUUGGCAGAAAUUUUAAGAAUACAGGAGGCAUUGGGUGUUUUAUAAGAAGAAACACUUUAGAUAUCAGGAAAUAGGUAAUUAACACUUUUGUUAGAAUUAGAGUCACUUGGUUUUUAUUGUUUUGAGAGCCCUCUCCUACCUGUGUUGUAUUUUGUUUGGGGAUGUGUGAUCAAGACCCAAGGAUUGUAAAAUACUCUUUAUCUUUAAAACUGGAGGGCAAUCAAACUUUAAAACUUAAACCAAGUUACUUAUAUUAGUAUUUUGUCUCCUGAGGGAGACAACAGGAUCAAAUUCUAUAGCCUUAAUGCUGCCACCUGCACUGCAGUAAUAUUACUGAUUUUAAUUCAGGGUGUGGGUGGAAAAAUGCAAAACUGUUACCUGUGAUCAUUUUUUUUUUUUUAACAUUUAUUUUUGAGAGACAAAGCACCAACGGGGGAGGGGCAGAGAGGGAGACACAGGCUUCAGGCACCGAGCUGUCAGCACAGAGCCCGAUGUGGGGCUUGAACUCACGGACUGCGAGAUCAUGCCCUGAGCUGAAGUCGGACGCUGAACCGACUGAGCCACCCAGGCACCCCUACCUGUGAUCAUUAAAGCUUACUGUAGUGUGAAUGAAUUCUUAGUACAUUUUUUGCUGUUGGCAUAACAGGAAUGCUGCUGUUCUUCCAACGUUAACUACAUGUAUUUUGUUAAUAUUUUAGCAUUUUUACAGUUAUCAGAUUUUGCAUCUUUUUUUUUUUUUUUUUUUUUUUUUGAGAGAGAGUGAGAGCACAAGUCGGGGAAAUCAAGAGUUGGAUGGUUUACUGAAGUGAGCCACUCAGGCACCCCCAGAUUUUUCAUCAUUAAGAUGAAAUUAUUAUUAUUAUUAUUAUUAUUAUUAUGUUUUUUUUUCCCAAAAGUUACCUCUUUCAUUAGGUAGGUCUGAAUAUUUGGUCUGUCUUUUGUUCUUAAGACCAUUCCUAAUUUUAUAGGUUUUGGAAGUUUGGGGAUGAGUUUUUAACAUAAAAUUACUGAUAUAUGUGGAACUACCAUUUUAGAUAGAUGUAUUAAUGUUUGACAGACACUGUCAACUGUUUCAUGUAUGCUGUAAACUCUAUUAUACAUAGUUUAGAAUUACCUAGAAAUUCAUUAACCAACACAUUUUUCUGGUAGGAUAGAAGCCCAAAAGUAGCUUUUUGUUUUAGGAUGACUAUUCGUGGGCUUCUAUGUAUAAAACAAAGGGAAUUACAUAAGUCUCGCCUGUGUGCAGAACAUACUAUUUGUUGAUUUUGAAAGCCUGGAAACCUGGGGGUGCCUGGGUGACUCAGUUGAGUAAGCUUCUGACUUCAGGUCAUGAUCACACAGUCUAUGAGUUCAAGCCCCACUCGGAGCCUGGACCCUGCUUCGGAUUCUGUGUCUCUCUCCCUCCCUCUCUGCCCUUCCCCCCGUUGCAUUUUGUCUCAAAAAAAAAAAAAAUCAACAUUAAAAAAAAAGUUUUUUUAAUCCUGAGAACCUGUAAGAUUCUAGCAGAGAUCCAGUAUUUGUUGUGUCCUGUUGAGAAUCAUGUUGCUUCUAGGAAAAUUGUUGCUAAAGGACUCCUUAUGUGAGCAGUUGCUUUGAAAUACUUAGAAGUGAUUUUUCAAAUUCCUUAAGUUUUAUUUAUUUACAUAAUCUCUACACCCAACAUGGGGCUCGAACUCACAACUCUAGGAUCAAGAGUUGCAUGCUCUUCCGACUGAGCCAGCCAGAUGCCCUGCUUUUUAGUUUCUUAAAAUUUAUUUUUAAUUUUAAGGUUUACAUUUGUGUCACAAAGAUUUAGUGUUUCCUUAAGUAUAAAACUGUAUCCAUUUUUUGAAAAAUUCUGGAAUUCUUUAGAUUUUCAUCAGUUGUAGUCCCACUUUUCUUUCCCUUACAAGAUCCCUGAUGAAAUUAUUCUGGAAUUACAUAGUGGUAAUGAUUGCAGAAGUUUGUGUGUGGAGGGUGUUUUUUCUAUGGUAUGUGAAUCAUAUGUUAAUAUAAAUUGGAAAAAAAAUUACUCCAUUAUGGACAGCCAAGUAAUUCUUUCUCAGUCAUUUCUUCUAUAGAAACUUGGGAGCACAGAAAGCAAUAAGGGUUUAUUAGGUUUGACAAUAGGCUACAGUAUAAAAGUGAAGACACAAUAAACCUAGUAGCAAAAGAUAUGGUAAUAAGUAACUUAUCACACAUUAUGUAUGGGCUAUGAAUAAUAAUGUAAAUAGUGUAUAAGUGACUGGACUGUAAAAGUUCUUACAUGAGAGCUUUUUCAGAGUGCUAAUACUGCUUCAUAUCUAAAUAUAUUAAGUAAAUAUGCCAUCGCACCAUGAAUAGAAAGAGGAAUGGAGUACAUCAACUCACAUCAAAUACAACACAUGGAUGACAAGCAGUAUGUUAUCCAAUGAAGAAGCUAUUGUAGGAAGCACAAUAUUAUACAGUGAAGACAGUGAUGUGGAAUUAAUAUUGGCUGCUAUGUGUCCUGCAUUUGUAUAGGAUUGUGCCAUAGAAAGACGAGUUGUGUUUCCGAGUUGUGUUUCCCGUUGUGGAGCUCUGAGCUCUCUUCACAUUUAAAGAUCCCCAGGUAGUUUCACAAAGUGCUAUUUUUGAACUUACCUUUGAUACUAAGUAUCAAAGGUUUUGAGGCAGAUAGAGUAAAGGUACAGUGGUAAAUAUCCCUGGUUGUAUUUGGAGAAAUAGCCUGGUAUAAUGGGAAAGAGUGGUUGUUGUAAAAGCCUUUUAUGGUCUAUUAGGGAGUUGUGUCUUGCAGGUAGAGAGGUCUUAGAAACUGCUUCAUGGAUAGAAAAGAGAAAGUGGAGGGAAAAAAAAGAUGUAUUAAGUAGUUAACAUUGUAAAUGUUGGAAUGGAGAAGGAUGUACAGGAAUUUCUGGGGUAGACUGGUCUUGGUAUAAUUUAUUGAGUUUAAAGUUAAAUGUUUUGUAGGGAGAAAAAAUGAUGUAUAGCAGAGAUCUUUUAUGACUACAGUUAUACCAUUAAAGGUUACAUGAAAGGGAUGUUGGAGGGUUUGAGUUGUUUGAAUUUUGGGGAACAAUUUUACUGUUAAUACUUAUGUUAGAGCUCUUUUUUAGGAACGUAUCCUGGUAGACUGUAGAACAGCAUUUGAGGUGAAGUACAGUUGUUAGGGGAGUUUCCUUUGAAAUGCAAGACCGGUGAAAGCAGCUAACAAUCAUAUUAAACUAAUAUUUGCCCCUUUUUUGUUCUAAGCACCCAGUUUUAGGUUUUGGUUAGUAAGUUAAAAGAAAUACUGACUACAGGAGCACCCAGAUGGCUCAGUAGGUUAAGCGGCAACUCCGCUCAAGUCAUUAUCUCCUGGUCUAUGGGUACAAGCCCAGAUUGGGCCCUGUGCUGACAGCUCAGCCUGGAGCCUGCUUCAGAUUCUGUGCCUUUGUCCCUCUCUGCACCUCCUCUGCUGCUGCUCUGGGGUCUCUGUCUCUCUCAAAAAUAAAUCAACAUUUAAAAAAAAGAAAUACUACAAAUUAAAGGAUACUUCCACCCCCCAUGUUCUUGGUAUUAGUGGGGCUGUCAUCCUGCCUCCCUCCCUUCCAUUUUUCUGAUAUUCCUGAGUAACACUAGACCUGAAGGAAGAACUCCUGAAAUAUUUUAGGUUUUGAAGAACUGAUUUAGACCAUCUGCUUGGAAAGGCAUGUGAUUGAGAGAUAAGAGGGUUCUUAGCUACUUGGAAAAGCUAAGGGACACCUCUGUAGAUGUGAUUUUAAGCAUAAGGUGAAAUUUUGCAUUUGCUAAGAGCCCUUCUGUUGGUUUUAUCUUUUGCAUGGAAACCUCAUUGCCAGGAAGAUUUUAGUUGAGGACAUCAAUUAGUACAAGUAUACUCUCAACAUAAACCUGCUAUUACUGACUUAAAAUUUUGACAGUAUAUUCUUUAUUUCACUUCACUUUCAUUUCGGGUUGUUGAUGUUUAUUGUGUCUUGGACUCUUACUAACUAGGUGGGAGGUAUUUCUUUUGCAGGGGAAGCAUUUGACUUGGUCAGAGAAUCUGCUAUAUGGCUCUGAAUUAAGUGGUGUUCUGGUUAUGACCUCUAAUGCAAAAUUAGCCACUGCUGUUUUAGGAUUCUACUUCAUGAUAUUCUUAAUCCAGGUAGAUUUUGUCAAGCUCCUUGACAUCAGUUUUUUUUUCUUUUUUAAAAUGUGGCUUUAUUGAGACAGAUGUAUAAUAUAUAACAUUAUAAAAUUCAUUUUAACGUGUAUAAUUCAAUUUAGUAUAUUUAGAGUUGUGCAGUCACGAUCAUGAUUUAAUUUUAGAACAUUGCAUCACCCCAAAAAUAAGCACCUUACUUAUUAUCAGUCAUAUCUAUUCUAUCCCUAGGCCUGCCAACUACUAAUCCAUUUUCUAUCUAUAGAUUUGCCUAUUCUGCACAUUUCAUAUCAAUAGAUUCAUAUAAUAUUUGUCUUUUAUGGCUGGUUUCUUAUACUUUAUACUUCAUAAUUCAUCUAUAUUUUACCAUUUGUUAGUACAUCAUUCCUUUUUAUAUUCCAUUUUUAUGGGUGAUAACCACAUUUGGUUUACCCAUUCAUCAGUUGCUGAAUAAUUUGAUAUGUUUCUACAUUUUGAAUAAUGCUUUUGUGGACAUUUGUAUGUACAUUUUUGCAUAGACAUGUGUUUUCAUCUGUCUUGGGUAUAUACUAAGAGUAGAAUUGCUGGCUGUGAUGGUAUUUCAUUUUUAACCUUUUGAGGAACCUGCCAUACUAUCUUUUCAAAGCAGCUGUACCAUUUUGCAUUCCUGUCAGCCAUGUAUAAAGGUUGCACUUUUCACAUCCUUGCCAACACUUACUUUAUUACCUGUCCUUGUUAUUUAACUAUAGUAGUUCAAGUUUGAAUAAUGUUAUCCCGUUGUGGUUUUGAUUUGCAUUUUCUUAAAAAACUAAUGACGUUGAGGGGCACCUGGCUGGCUUGGUCAAAAGAAAGAGCACACGACUAUUGAUCUCAGGUUGUGAGUCCAUGCCUCACAUUAGAUGUAGUGUUUACUAAAAAAAAAAAUAAAAAAUUAUGGUGAGUAAUCAUGGGCUUAUUGGAUAUCUAUUUUUAGAAAAAUGUAUUCAGAUCUUUUGCUUAUUUUUAUAUUGAGUUUACUGAGUUGUAAGGCUUCGUAUAUUAAAGAUACAAGUCUUGAUACAACAUCCAAUACUGACAUUUUUGAUAUUUAUUACUUUUUUUAUAGUUUCACGAUUCUGCUUUGUGAUCACAGGAGAUGUGUUAACUACGGUUUUAUACAAAGAACCUUUAGGUUUAUUUAGUUUGAGAUAGAGCAGGAGAGGGACAGGAAGAGAGGGAGGUGUAGAGUAUCCCAAACAGUCCCUGUGCUGUCAGCGCAGAGCCCAACACAGGGCUCGAUCUCAAAAACGGUGAGAUCGUGACCUGAGCUGAAAUCAAGAGUCACUCUGGUACCCCACAAAUGAAUUUUGAGCAGUGUUUCAAUAUGAGAAUUGUAAUGACUGAGGACUGCUCUUCAGGCAGGAAGUUAGAGAACCCAGACUGCAGUUUUGAAAUAAAGCUACAAGGAAUUUGAAGGAAUAUCCCGGAAAUCAGUCUUUCAGGGAAAGAAAGAGAGGGUACCCGUUGAUACAUAGGAUAAGAUGAUAAUUUAAUCUCCUCUUAAAGACUGUAAUCCCAGGAAAAAGAGGAAAAGGUCCACCAAAUAUAGUUUGACUUAAUCAGGCAGAUCAACUUUUUUCCCAGGACUUUAUUACUUUAUAGUAAUAAAUGUGUUACUAUUGUGAGAUUGAUGGGGCUUAAGAAGGGAAAUAGGUUAAUAUUGUAAAAAACAUAUAUAAUUGCAAGACAAAGUUACCACUGGAAUUUUUUUGCGGGUGAAUUCCUUAACAGCAGGUAUGACCUGAUGGUCUCAUCACAUCCCAUUAUAGGCACAGGAUCUGAUAUUUAUUUUGGGGUAGAUUAUUUAGCUUUUCCAAUAGUUUUCAUACAGCUGGGGGAAAAGCAGAUUAGUGCUUUUGGCUUUCCAGCUAUAAAGAUAGGUUUGAUUUGUUACGUGCUGAUAGUGUGAUUUGUGACAAAUCUUUCCUAGAGUCUAGUUUAGGAGAGGCAUUGUUGUGUUCACCAGGGAUACUAUAGUGGAAAAUAAAUCGUCUCAGAGAAGGUAGGUUGAACACAUAAAAGCAUGUUAAGGCAUCUUUAGCUUUUAUGAAAUGAGAUGAGAAGGCAGUGGGGAGAGUUGAACUGAGGAGUGAGAGGAUCUUAUUUGUAUUGUAACAGGAUUAGUCUGAUUAUAGAUAAUAAGUGGCUGAUAGAAUUAUCUAGAUAAACAAUCAUUUGGGAAAGGACCCUGGGAGGUAGACUUGGAAAUGGUAAGUAGUAGUUGAAUUUUGAAGUUAAUAAAGACCAAUUCACUUACACAUCACUGUGAAGGCUAAGAGAGGAAUCAGAUGUCACCAAAGUUUGGCCUGCACAACUAGCGACUUGGAAUUUGCAGAAAUCGUGAUAGAAGAACAUAGUGCAAAACUAGGUUGAGGAGUGACUAUCACAGAUUGGCCAGUGACAUGUUUAUUAGACAUGUUUAUUAUUGAGAGAUGUUAUAUAGGCAGUUGUUUAUGUGGAGACAUAGUAGUUGUCUGCUCGUAGGUCACAAAACCACAAUACUGGGUGAGUAGAGACAGAAAAUAGAGAUCAUUAGAGCACUGCAACUAUUAAAAACUAGGGAGAUGAGGAGUGAGUACAAGUGAUUGAAAAAUGCCAUA